rnacentral:rRNA from 1 species
CCUACGGGGCGCAGCAGUGGGGAAUAUUGCACAAUGGGGGAAACCCUGAUGCAGCGACGCCGCGUGAGCGAUGAAGUAUUUCGGUAUGUAAAGCUCUAUCAGCAGGGAAGAAGAUGACGGUACCUGACUAAGAAGCCCCGGCUAACUACGUGCCAGCAGCCGCGGUAAUACGUGGGGGGCAGGCGUUAUCCGGAUUUACUGGGGGUAUAGGGAGCGUAGACGGCGAUGCAAGCCAGAUGUGAAAGCCCGGGGCUCAACCCCGGGACUGCAUUUGGAACUGUGGGGCUGGAGUGUCGGAGAGGCAGGCGGAAUUCCUAGUGUAGCGGUGAAAUGCGUAGAUAUUAGGAGGAACACCAGUGGCGAAGGCGGCCUGCUGGACGAUGACUGACGUUGAGGCUCGAAAGCGUGGGGAGCAAACAGGAUUAGAUACCCUGGUAGUC